CUACGGGAUGCAGCAGUGAGGAAUUUUGCGCAAUGGGGGAAACCCUGACGCAGCAACGCCGCGUGAGCGAAGAAGGCCCUCGGGUCGUAAAGCUCUGUCAAGUGGGAAAAAAAUUUUUUGAUCAAUAGUCAAAAGACUUGAUGGUACCACUGGAGGAAGCACCGGCUAACUCCGUGCCAGCAGCCGCGGUAAUACGGAGGGUGCAAGCGUUGUCCGGAUUUACUGGGCGUAAAGAGCGUGUAGGCGGCUUAGCAAGUCAGAUGUGAAAGCCCUGGGCUCAACCCGGGAAGUGCAUUUGAAACUGCUUCACUAGAGUAUGGGAGAGGAGAUUGGAAUUCCUGGUGUAGAGGUGAAAUUCGUAGAUAUCAGGAGGAACACCCGUGGCGAAGGCGAUUCUCUGGACCAAUACUGACGCUGAGACGCGAAAGCGUGGGGAGCAAACAGGAUUAGAUACCCGUGUAGUC
rnacentral:rRNA from 1 species